UUUUCUAGAAUUGAAAAUUCUGGAAAUUCUUGAAUUCUCGGUUCUUCGAACCGUAAAUAACCGCGCCCCAAGUUGUAGUCACGUUUAUUGGGCCUAAAGCGUCCGUAGCUGGUUUGAUAAGUCUCUGGUGAAAUCCAGCAGCAAACUGUUGGAACGGCUGGAGAUACUAUCAGACUUGAGACCGGGAGAGGUUGGGAGUAUUUCACGGGUAAGAGUAAAAUCUUUUAAUCCGUGAAGGACUACCUGUGGCGAAGGCGCCUAACUGGAACGGGUCUGACAGUGAGGGACGAAAGCGUGGGGAGCAACCGGGAUUAGAUAAGCUUUUUCUUUUGAAAAGAAAAACUUUGGAAAAAGAAAAUAUAUUAUAAAGAAAAAGC
rnacentral:rRNA from 1 species